rnacentral:rRNA from 1 species
CCUACGGGAGGCAGCAGUGGGGAAUCUUGCGCAAUGGGCGAAAGCCUGACGCAGCCAUGCCGCGUGAAUGAUGAAGGUCUUAGGAUUGUAAAAUUCUUUCACCGGGGACGAUAAUGACGGUACCCGGAGAAGAAGCCCCGGCUAACUUCGUGCCAGCAGCCGCGGUAAUGCGAAGGGGGCUAGCGUUGCUCGGAAUUACUGGGCGUAAAGGGAGCGUAGGCGGAUAGUUUAGUCAGAGGUGAAAGCCCAGGGCUCAACCUUGGAAUUGCCUUUGAUACUGGCUAUCUUGAGUACGGAAGAGGUAUGUGGAACUCCGAGUGUAGAGGUGAAAUUCGUAGAUAUUCGGAAGAACACCAGUGGCGAAGGCGACAUACUGGUCCGUUACUGACGCUGAGGCUCGAAAGCGUGGGAGCAAACAGGAUUAGAUACCCGUGGUAGUCCACGCUGUAAACGAUGAGUGCUAGUUGUCGGCAUGNAUGCAUGUCGGUGACGCG